UGAAAUGAUUCGUUUUUAACCAAAUUUACAUAAAUAUGUAAAAACAUUAAAAAUUUUAUUUAUUUUUAUCUUAUUAUGCAUUUAUUUAUUUACAUAACUAUAUGCAUGCAUGUGUAUUUAUUUAUGCAUUUAUUUAUGCAUUUAUUUGUGCAUUUAUUUGUUCAUUUAUUUGUUCAUUUAUUUGUUCAUUUAUUUUUGUGUAAUAAACAUUUUUUAUUAUAAAAAAUUAAAAAAAAAUACUAUGACUUUUAUAAUUGAUAUAUAUAUAUAUGUAUUAAAUUAAAAAUAAUUAAUUUGAUUAUUCAUGCUAUUUUAAAAUAAUAAAAAGUUAUAAUAUCUACUAGAAUAUUAAAGUAAAUAUUAAUAACAUACUUUUUUUUUUUUUUUUUUUUUUUUUUUUUUUUUUUUUUUUUGUGCUUCUACACUUUUAUAACUGUUCAAAUUAAAUAACCAUGAAUGAAAAAAGGUGCAUUUUUAUUAUAUUACCAGAUGUUACCAAUAAUUUUAAAGAUAAAUGUGUUAUAGAAAAAUUAGAAGAAAAAGAGUUUAUUAUUUUAAAAAAAAAGAAAAUAUACUUAACAGGAAACGACAUACUAGAGAUAUUUACUUAUAAACCUGAGCAAUAUGAACAUAUCGAAGAGUUUUAUGAGUAUUUGGAAAGCGGACUGUGUGUAGUUUGUUUAAUAGAGCACCUUGAAGGAGAUACAAUAAAAAAAUUAAACCUUUUAAUUAAGAGUACUUCUAUGUUUAUAAAGGAUGAAAAAUACUUUGAUUGCUUAGAGUACCAAUGUAAUUUAAGAUGUAAAAAUAUUCCUUUUUAUUUUAGCAAAAAUUGUUGGUAUUUCUGUAGAGACUUAAAUUAUUUUUUCCCACCACAUAAUAAAAAUAAUAUAGAAAGAAGUUUAAUAAUAUUAAAACCUGAUGCUAUAGAAAAUAAUAAAAUAAAUGAUAUUAUUAACGACAUAUUGAAUUUUAAUUUGUUAGUGGUUGCUAUAAAAAGAGGUGUGUUGUCUAAUGAGCGUGCCAGUAAAUUGUAUGAAGACUUGAAACAUAAGCCUUACUACCACACUUUGAUAGACUUUAUGACAUCUAAAGUAGGGAUAGUCUGUCUGUUAAUAGAAGGCAUAAACUGCAUUGACCGAGUAAAAAUUUUAUGCGGUCCAUCCUUAUCUAUGGUUAGCUUCAAGGACAUGCCUAAAAGAUGUUUAAAAAAAAAAUACGGAACCAGCGAAAUGCGUAAUGCUGUGCAUGUUCCGAGUGAUGAAAAAAUAGACUAUGAAAUAGAACUAUUUUUUAGAGAGGAAGAUAUGAAUAGUGAAAUUGGUAUUUUAUUAAUAAAAAAAAGUAUAGUAAAUCCAGAUGCUUUAUUUCAGUUAAGAGAUUAUUUUAAUAUGUACGGUUUUAAAAUAUUAGAAGAAAAAGUUAUAAAUAUGGAUAACUCGAUGUUAAUGUAUUUAAUUAGUGAAAAUAAGAGCAAAAUUAAUGAACAAAUUAAUGAACAAGUUUGUAGAACAUUGAAGGGUAACAUUGAAAAGUUUGUCAUAAUUUUAGUUCACAGAAUAAAUUGUCUUACAUGCUUAGAAUACUUAAUUGAUUUAAAAAGUGUUAGAGAAUAUAAAAUAAAAAGUCCGAAUUGUAUUUUAAGUAUGUUUAUGUGUUGUAGUUACCAAUUAGGUAAUCGCCACAUAGAUAUUCCUAAUGGUAGUAAACAGAAUUAUAAAAACAUUGGAAAUGAUUAUUAUUAUAAUAGUAACGAAAAUAAUGUAAGUAAUAAAAAUAUAAUUUUUGUGAAAGAUAAAGAUAAAAUAAUAGAAUUAAUAAAACGUUAUUUUAAUUUUGCAAAGUAUAAUGAUACACUUACAGUAGAUAUGAUUCGUGAUUUUUUUUUUUGUAAAAACGUUAAAACUUUUGAAAAAAAAGAAAAAAAUAUAAAAUUAAAUGAUGUAUUACUGGAAUGUUUUACUGAGAUUUGUAAAAAAAAACCAGAUGAAUAUAAUGCGAUAUUUUGGUUAUAUAAUUGGCUGAAACAAAAAGAAAAAGCGAUUAAAAGCGAUAUACAGGUAAAAAAGACAUUUAAACAAAAAGCGAAUGAAAUUGUUAUAUUAGGUCAAAAAAAUAAAGAAGAAAUUGGAAAUGGAGAAUAUUUAAAUAAGGAUAAUUUAAAAGAGGGGGAUAGUAUGGAUGAAAAUAACAAUACAGAUAAGGAUAGCAGUGACAGUAGUAUAAAAAAAAAAGACAAAAACGAAUUUAAUGAACUGGACACACACAACGAUAAAAUAAAUUCUAGUGUGAACAAUAUGAAAAAUGUAAUAAAAAAAAAAAAUGCAAUAAAAGUAAGUAAUGAAAAUUUGAUGUUAAAAAGGAAAAAUAUUAUUUUAAUUCCAGAUAAUAUAUAUACUGAUCCAGAUAAAAAUAAAGAAGACGAAAAAAGUAUUUUUCUAAAUGUAAUAAAUUUUUUUGAAAAAAUGCAGUAUACUAAUAUAAGUUUUUAUGAGAUCUGUAAAAGAGAAAAAAAAAAAAAUUCUAUGCUUGGUAAAAAAAUAGAAUAUACUAAAAAAAAAUAUAAACAGUUGAGUGUUGAUUUGAUAGAACGUAUUUUAAAAGAAAAUUUAUUAUGUUAUGAUAAAAAAAAAAAAAAAAAUAAUAAUAAUAAUAAUAAUAAUAAUGAUAAUGAUAAUAAUAAUAAUUACAUUAUAACAGGUUUUAAAAAUUUAGUUAGUUAUUUGUAUAUAACAAAUGAAAAAAUAAUACCUAGUUCAUUUUGUUUAUUAUUUUAUCGAGAGGAAGAAAAAAAAAAAAAGAUAGUACAACUUGAAGAUAGAUACAGUUUGUUUUUAUCAUUAUUACAAGAAAGUGAUACGUGCAUUAAUAGUUCCACUAAUGGUUAUACUGGUAAUACAACUUGUGAUGCAAAUAACAUAAAACCCACUAUUACAACCAACGUUACACCCAACGUUACACCCAACGUUAGUGGGAACAUAAAAAUUAUUAAUGAGUUUUUAAAUAAGGGUAAAAUUUUAAUAUAUAGAAAUAAAAAAAACUAUUUUAAAAAUUUUAUUACAAAAUUUUAUAAUGAAAUAAUAAUUUUUUUUUUUGGAAUAAAAACAUCUUAUUUGAACACAUUUUUUGACUUUUAUAUAUAUAAUUAUAAUUAUUAUUUAAUAGAUUUUAUACAAUUGUGUAAUGAAGAAAUAGAUAAAAUGAAAGAAAAUGUCGUUGAUAGGAGUCCCGAUGAAGGUUUAUGUAUCACAUCGUUAGAUCGUUCUGCUGUUACAAUUACAUCAACCAAUAGUAAUAAUAAUACUACUACUUUGUUUCCAAAACCAACUCAAUUUAUUUUUGUUCUUAUAGAAAAAAUAAAAAAUUUAAUAAAUAAAUGCCAUAAUAGAUUUAUAAUAUAUAAUUUCCCAUGUAGUAUGGAACAAGUUGAAUUAUUAAAACAAGAAGGUAUAAAUUUAAAAGUGGAAGGGUUUUACUUUAAUUAUUAUUACGACAAUAGUACGGAUUUAAAAAAAAGUGUAACAAAAAGAGAAAUAAUAAUGAGUGAUUAUACUCAUAGAAAAAUGAGUCGGGGUAAUAUUAGUAGGAAUAGUCUAAUAUUAGAAUUAAAAACUGAUCAAAAUAUUAUAAAAAAUCAAAUGAGUGUCUUUUCUCCUGUAUGUAUAAGUAAAAUGAUAAAUAAUAAAAACUUUUCUAUAUUUAAUAUUAAAGAAAAAAAAGGUAUAAAAACAUUAACAACAUUAAAUAAUUAUAUAUAUGAUAUAUUAAAAAUAAAAAAAAAAAAAGUUAUUUUUAUUUUGAAUAUGACUAAAAUUAAUGAUAGUUUUAUUAGUUUUUAUUUGCAAUAUGAGUAUCCAGACAUGGUAUUUUGUAACUUGGACAGUUUUGAAGAGAGUAGUUAUUCCGGUAUCGUCUUCAUGGAAAGGUGUUUACUAUAUGAGACAAUUAAUGACAUUUUUUAUGGUAGUGGCAGUAACAGUGGUAAUGGUAACAGUAACAGUGGUAAUGGCAAUAAAAAAGACAACAUAGAUAUUAUAUUAAAAAAAAUGCUUACCUUUUGUUCGCAAAUAAAUAGUGGUUAUUACGUGUUUUCAGGAAUACCUAAAAACUUAGUUAUAGAAGAUUUUCAAAAAAUUAGUUUUUAUUUUGAUAUAAAAUUGUGUAUACUUUUAGUUAAAAAUAAUAGUUAUAAUAUUAAUGAAUUUUUGGCUAUAAAUAUAGAUCAAUAUAUUUUUGCCUCUUGUUUUUUUUAUUUUCAAAGUUGUGGUAAGUUGUUGAUGGUAGGAGUUAAUGAAGGGUUAGAAGCGAAUGAGUUGAUACACCCAUCUGAUUUGGUUAAUCCAGAAUAUUUGAUAAAAUUAAAUGUUGAAAAAGGUACUAACAAUAUUAAAAACAAAAAAAAUGAAAAACAAGAAGAAACUAAUAAAACAAAUGAUUCGAUUGAUAAUAGAAAAAAAAAAAGAAUACUAAAAAUAAUAACAGAAAAAAUUAAACCUAAAUUAAUUUACUAUUAUUUCUCAGAUGAUUAUAAUUUAGAAAAAUUUGUGCAAAACGAAAAAAAUAAAAAAAAUGGUACUGUUACAGAUAUUGUCACGAAUGCUAAUAAUAUUGAUACAGUCAGUAGUAACAAUAAUAAUGGAGUUUUUAAAUAUUUAUUUUAUCAAGACGUGUUAGAAAAGUAUAUUUUAUUAACCCAAAAACGAUCAGAAAAAUUUAUAAAUAACUUAAUAAAUCAAAUAAAAAACCAAAAAAAUGGUAAUAAAAUAAAAAACCAAAAGAAUAGUAAUAAAAUAAAAAAGAAAAUAUAUUUUACAUACUUAAAAGAUGUAGUACUACAUUCAAGUGAUUACUUAUUUACAAAUGUUGUUUUGGAUAAUAUACUAAAUGAUUGUGAAGAUAGUGAGAAGGAAGAGGAGGAGAAGGAGGAGAAGGAGGAGAAGGAGGAGAAGGAGGAGAAGGAGAAAGAGGAGAAAGAGGAGAAGGAGAAGAAAGAGGAGAAGGAGAAGAAGAAGGAGAAGGAGGAGAAGAAGGAGAAGGAGGAGAAGGAGGAGAAGGAGAAGAAGGAGGAGAAGGAGAAGAAGGAGGAGAAGGAGGAGAAGGAGGAGAAGGAGGAGAAGGAGAAGGAGGAGAAAGAGGAGAAAGAGGAGAAGGAGGAGAAGGAGGAUGGUGGUAUGGUAAAAACUGUAGAUAAUAGUGAGAUAAUAAAUAAACGUACUAGUAACAUCACUCAAGAUGAUACCACUAUCUUUUCUAACUUACUCGAGUUCAAAAAACUGGUUCAAUUUAUUUAUUAUACAAAAUCGGAAUAUUUAGAAUUACAAAAAAAUAAAGAUAUAUUAGACAGUUGUAUUUUGAAUGAUAAUAAAAUAUUUCAUAUGAACAGAAUGAUGAUAGGUGGUAAUAAAUCUGAAAUAAAUAAUGAAUCGAUGAAAAAUAAAAAUAAUGAUGGAUAUAUAUUGAUAAAUGAUAAAAUAAAUUCAAUGGAAAAAUUAGGCGAUGGUGGUACAGAGAAUGAGGAAGGAGCAUUAGGAGAAAGAGAUACAGGAAGCAACCAUCAUGGAUCUGAUAGUAACAGCAGGUCUGAUAGUCAUAGCAGGUCUGAUAGUAACAGUAAGUCUGAUAGUAACAGUAAGUCUGAUAGUAACAGUAGGUCUGAUAGUAACAGUAGGUCUGAUAGUAACAGUAGGUCUGAUAGUUAUACCACAUCCAGUAAUAACAGUUCGAGUAAAAAAAAAAAGGGUAAUAAAAAAAAAAAAAAAAAUUCCAACACAGAUAAAAAAGAAAAUAUGUUACAAAACAAUAAUGAAAGUGAUGAUAAUAACGAAAAUGAAAUGUUAGAAUAUAAUGAAAAGGCAAAAAAGAUAAAAGAGUGUUUAUUAAAAAAAUAUGAAAAUAUGGAAUAUACUGGUAUAUAUAUAAAUAAAACAAUGCCAUAUAGUUGUGAAAAUUUAUAUUUCCCUAAGUUAGUAAUUUUAUUAGUACCAUAUAACGAGCGUUUACAAUUUUAUAUAUCAUCGCUGUUAUGCUUAUACUUUAAAAAUUUUAUGUCAUAUAAUACCGUUAGCUUAAUGAAAGAAGAAAUAAUAAAAAAAAAAAUAAGUAAUAUGUAUUUUUAUAAAAACAAAAAAGAAAAUGCAUUUAGUUUUUCACAUAAAAAUGCUAAUUAUAAUCACAAUAAUACUAUUAAUGAAAAAAAAUUGUUAAAAAAUGCUUUUCAAAGUUUUAUUAAAAAAAUGAAAAGUGUGGAUAAGAAUAUAUUAUUGACUGGAUUUCCAAUUGUUAAAAAUAGAUAUAAAAAUAGUAUUUAUUUUUAUCAAUUUAAUUUUUUAAGAACGUUUAAAAUAAACGGUAUUAUUUGUCUACAAUUUGAUGAACAAUAUUUACAAACCCUCACUAACUUUACUAACAUUACUAAUAACAUAAGUGAACAAAAGUAUAAAGAAAUCACAGACAUUAUAAAAAAACAGUACAGUUACACGCAUAAGUUGUAUUUUGGAAGAGUAGCGGAGAAAAACGAUUUAUUACGAGUUCUUAAGGAUAUAUAUAACUUUUUUGAUUUUUAAGUUUGUACGAGCGGAUGAGGAAGUGUAUCAAACACAUAUGAGCAAAAAUAACAUAAUGGGCUUUUAAUAGAAGCAAAAAAUGUUUUAAACACCAAAAAAAAAUUAAAACAAACAUGUGCAUAUAUUAUAUACAUAUUAUAUAUAUAAUAUAUAACAUAUAAUACGUAAUAUAUAAUACGUAAUAUAUAUAUAUAUAUUUUUUUUUUUUUUUUUUUGUAUAAUUUACCGACUGGUACUCUUUUUCGGAACACACACGAACAUGCUCUACUUGAGCACUUGUCAAAAAGACGCAUACACAUAAAAAUGUUAAAAAUGUUAAACGUGUUAAACGUUCUAAAUGUAUAUUUUUCUUUUGUUAUUAUACAGUGUUGUGCUGUAGUACACUAUACCAUACUAUACUAAGCUAUAGUAAGGUAUACUUUUUUUUUUUUUUUUUUUUUUUUUUUUUUUUUUUUUUUUUUUUUUCUCCGUUUUUCCCCUUUGCUUUUCUUUUUAGUUUUGCAUUAACAAGAAAUGCAUAAGUGUUUUACCAAAUAAAAUGAUUUUAUUCCCCUCCA
ensembl:lncRNA